rnacentral:rRNA from 1 species
AUACGUAGGGGGCGAGCGUUGUCCGGAAUGAUUGGGCGUAAAGGGCGCGUAGGCGGCGCGGUAAGUCUGGAGUGAAAGUCCUGCUUUCAAGGGGGGAAUUGCUUUGGAUACUGCCGCGCUUGAGUGCAGGAGAGGUUAUCGGAAUUCCCGGUGUAGCGGUGAAAUGCGUAGAGAUCGGGAGGAACACCAGUGGCGAAGGCGGGUAACUGGACUGCAACUGACGCUGAGGCGCGAAAGUGUGGGGAGCAAACAGGAUUAGAUACCCUGGUAGUCCACACUGUAAACGAUGAAUGCUAGGUGUAAGAGGUAUCGACCCCUUUUGUGCCGGAGUCAACACAAUAAGCAUUCCGCCUGGGGAGUACGGCCGAAAGGUUGAAACUAAAAUGAAUUGACGGG